GUCACACAGGUGUUGGGUUGUUUUAUUUUCUUGAUCCGUAAAUUGUAAAAUUUGGCCCAAAAGCCCAAUCCAAAAGAAACCCUACAGCGAUAAAGUUGAGACGAUGAAUCUCUUAUGCCUCUCCUAUCUUCGUCGUUUCCACUUCUUCAACUGAUCGUCGAUCAAUCCACACACUACUCCAUUUCUGUGCAAUAAAUCCUGCGAAAUCUCCUUUAUGGCUCCCUUUCGCCUUUCUACCCCUAAGUUUCUUUAUAAUUCUUUUUUCCCAGAUUUAUUACACACAAAAUUGUGUGUAUUCUCUAAGGCUAUGAAUUCUAACAGCAAAUCCACUGUUUGCGGCAAUCUUAUCUCGAAGAAACCAAACAGAAAGAGCGGUGUCUCCUCCGCGGAGCUGGUCAAUCGUACCGGCAAAACCGGUGUCUCUCCGCCAAACGGCAAGGCCGUUGUGUUCUCCGACGUGCCGAUCAAACAUAGCGGCGGAACCGGUCAAAUGAAAAAGUACUAUACUGCCACGUCAAUUUAUUCCUUCCGCUGCUCUCAUGCAUCUUGAUGUUCAGAUUUGUAUGCAGGAGAUUGAGUUUGACUUGGAGUCGAAGGGAAGAAAUAUUUUUCAGGAGAAGGAGAUAAUUUAGAGUAACUGAGAUAUAAGAAACUAAAGACUUAGCUUACUUCACGAGAAAAGCUAUAUGGCAAAUCUGUACUCUUAACUUAUCAACAUCAACGUUUCAACUAGAAUUCAAGCAUUGGCAUGGAGAAGUCAAAGCUAAUUUAGCAGCAGCAUGCCUGAUCCCAUUCUUGUGUUCUAAGGUAUAACCUAUGAUGAAGGGGAAGACUUCAUUUUGCAGAGAUCCUUUGACUGGCAUUGUGAAAGGGACCAACUUAGACAAGAGAUGAAGGUCAGAAAAGUCUUCUAAGGAAUCACUUUCCUCCAAUUAAAAAAUUUGGAAGAAAUCGUGUACAUGCUUAGGAGGCUCUUUCUUUGCUAAUGAUGCAUAGUGUGGAGUUUCUGUUCAUGAUGACAAGAGACCUUGAGUUAUUAAGCAUGUCUGGUGCUCUUGAGUAACUGAACUAUCAUGGAAAGACAUCCUUUCCAGAAGAUAAUUAUUCAGAUCAUCAAGAAUGACAAUCUCGAUGAGCUAAAGGAACCGGUAAUGGCACGUUCGGUCCAGUGCAUCAUGGGAAAUGGAAAGAACCAUAUUGCGUUCAAGAGGAUCCACAGACCAAACUAAUUAGAAAGUAAGCUCAUUUUUAUUUUAGUAGUCAAACAGAUGCCAAGAACUUGAAAAAGGUAUACAAAAACAUGUAUUUAUUCCCAUUCAUUGUUUUGUGUCUAUCUGAGAGACUACGUUACAGUAGCUGAGAGAAUGUUAAAGAUGAUAGAUAUAUCAUUCAUCUUUUAUUUUCUAUUGUGCUAACUAAACACACGUGGGAUGAUCAAUCUGCCUGGAAUCGUCCAAGAAUUUGUUUUUUCGCUUUUACAAUGAAAUUUCCAAAGCAGAGAUAUUGGAUAUUAUCAUUGUAUUCAGAUUUGUAAACAUGUGUUACAUAUACAUUUCUUUGUUUCUAAUA